UACGUAGGGUGCGAGCGUUAUUCGGAAUUACUGGGCGUAAAGCGUGCGCAGGCGGCUUUGCAAGACAGAUGUGAAAUCCCCGGGCUCAACCUGGGAACUGCAUUUGUGACUGCAAGGCUAGAGUACGGCAGAGGGGGAUGGAAUUCCGCGUGUAGCAGUGAAAUGCGUAGAUAUGCGGAGGAACACCAAUGGCGAAGGCAAUCCCCUGGGCCUGUACUGACGCUCAUGCACGAAAGCGUGGGGAGCAAACAGG
rnacentral:rRNA from 1 species